rfam:Pseudomonas sp. BRH_c35 BRHa_1002303, whole genome shotgun sequence.
CGUGCUCAGGGAUUAGCGCGGCCUUCAGGAUGAAGGUCAAGGACCGCCGCAGGAAGCGGUGUCAUCCAGGAAGAUGAGAAGGGAUACAGGGAACAAGGAAGGAGGCGGGCGGGGUCAAACCCGCCCCUUUUUU